GGUAAGAGCAAAACCGCUCCCAUGCAAAACUGCGCGGCUUUCAAAACCGCCGCCGGCAGCUGCACAGGCUCUGCCGCGCCACGUGGCCAAGCCGCGGAUCGGCGCUGCCCGUGCUCAGUAAGAAAGUACAAGCCGCGGUUUCUCCCCGUGCUCUCCCAUCACACCCGGGAGCUGCCGACGCCUCCCACGCCACAGAGAAACCGAAAGUGCCGCGGCACAGAGCCGGCGCCAUCCCGUGCGGAAACUGCUCGCACCCGGAGCUGCUCCACCAGCGCCGCACCACACGGACCCGCGCCACCGGCGCUGCACUGCCGCCCGGAGCCUCCUGCACACACAAACCCCUCCACCUGGGGCUAGCACCCUUCCCCUGCACCGGAGACUACCCCCCACCACCCGGGAGUCACUCCGGGGUUCCACUAUCACUCGCAGGGAGUCACCUUGAGAUCCGGGCGACGUCCCAGGGGGAAAAGAGAGCGAAUGCCGGAUAGCAGGAGAUUUUAAACCCGGGGGGAAGGAGGCAGAGGCACAACUGAUGGGAGGGGUGAGGGGAGGAAGUAACCCGGGCUAAGACCACCAGCACAAGGCUCUGGGAGGAGAAGGGGAGAUAUGGAACAAACCAUGUGAACACUGCAAAUUACCAAACACCCAGUGCAAAACAACAACAACUAAAUAAACUAUUUAGUGCAAUACAACAGGAGAUGACA